rnacentral:rRNA from 1 species
CCCUUAGAUGUCCUGGGCCGCACGCGCGCUACACUGAACGGAUCAGCGCGUUUUCCCUUCCCGAGAGGGACGGGUAACCUGCUGAACCCCGUUCGUGGUAGGGAUCGGGGCUUGCAAUUAUUCCCCGUGAACCAGGAAUGCCCAGUAAGUGCAAGUCAUAAGCUUGCGUUGAUUACGUCCCUGCCCUUUGUACACACCGCCCGUCGCUACUACCGAUUGAACGUUUUAGUGAGGUACUCGGACUAAGCCUCAGAAGAUUCACGUCUUUUGUGCUGCUCGGGAAGAUUCCCAAACUUGAGCGUUUAGAGGAAGUAAAAGUCGUAACA